UACAUGUGGUGCAAGCGUUGUUCGGAAUUACUGGGCAUAAAGGGUGCGUAGGCGGUGUCGUCAGUCUGGGGUGAAAUCCUGCGGCCCAACCGUGGGACUGCCUCGGAUACUGCGAUGCUUGAGUGCGUGAGGGGUGAUCGGAACGCGUGGUGUAGCGGUGAAAUGCGUAGAUAUCACGCGGAAGACCAACGGCGAAGGCAGAUCACUGGCGCGCAACUGACGCUGAAUGCACGAAAGCGUGGGGAGCAAACAGG
rnacentral:rRNA from 1 species